rnacentral:pre_miRNA from 1 species
AGUGGAAUUACUGGGUCAUAUGGUAGUUAUCUGUUUAGCUUUUUGAGGAACUGCCAAGCUGUUUUUCAAAGUGGCCAAACCAUUUCACAUUCCCUCCAGUAAU